rnacentral:misc_RNA from 1 species
ACCAGGGUACCACCAUCCAUCACAGUAUCACCAGAGGGUGGCUACCAGGACAUAGAAACCACCAACAUGAGGCGGGUGAUAGCUAAACGUCUUACAGAGUCAAAGACAAUGAUUCCCCAUUCCUAUGUGUCUAUUGAAUGUAAGGUGGAUGCUGCUAUGAAAUUGAGAAAGAAGUUUAUUGCUUCUGGAACCAAAAUAUCAAUGAAUGAUAUCAUUGUGAAGGCAGCGGGUUACUCAUUGCAGCGUGUUCAGAAAGUGAACUCCCAUUGGUCAGGGGACAGCAUCCAGAUCCAGCCCACUGUGGACAUCUCGGUCGCUGUGGCAACAGAUAGUGGACUCAUUACCCCUAUUGUCAGGAAUGCUGCAGAAUUAAGCUUAUCACAGAUAUCUUCCACAACUAAGGCAUUAGCUGUGAAAGCCAGAGAUGGAAAGUUACAACCCCAAGAGUUUCAGGGAGGAUCAUUCACGAUCUCUAACCUUGGAAUGUUUGGUAUCGGGGAGUUCUCUGCCAUCAUCAACCCACCCCAGACGGCUGUCCUAGCGGUGGGGACCUCUGUACUAAAGCCGUCUGCAGAGGGAAAACCCUGCUCUUAUCUCACCGUUAAAAUGUCGUAUGACAGUCGUGCAAUAGACGAAACAGAAGCCUCCCAAUUUCUGGAGAAAUUUCAGCAAGUGAUGGAAAACCCGUCUUUGUUGAUGGUUUGAGAAUGGAGGCUUUUAUUGAAUGACUGGGGCUGAUUUAUUAUUUAAGUUUAUAACAUUCAGUAAGUGCUUAAGUUGUUGUAAUGUAAUAUUGAGUACAUGUAUUUGCUUCCAUGAGAUCAUAAGUUGAAAGUUUUAGGUUGAAUCUUUUCGUUAGAGUGAUGGAGGAAAUAUCUCAGUUGUUUGCUGUACUGAACAUUGUUAUUUACUUGUAUAGGUCGCUGUUUUGUUACAUAUGAUAUAUAUCUGUAGGGAUGUAAUACGAAAUAACAAAUUAAGUUAACAUUUAUUGACUUAUAAUAAGUGUUGGUUGAUACAUAAAAGAAAUGAGUAAUGUGAAUUAAAGGUUAAGAUUGUUUU